rnacentral:rRNA from 1 species
GAUGAACGCUAGCGGCAGGCCUAACACAUGCAAGUCGAGGGAGAAGCCCUUUCGGGGGCAGAAACCGGCGCACGGGUGCGUAACGCGUAUGCAACCUACCUUUCACAGGGGGAUAGCCCGAAGAAAUUUGGAUUAAUACCCCAUAAUAUUAUUGGAUGGCAUCAUUUGAUAAUUAAAACUGCGGUGGUGAAAGAUGGGCAUGCGUCCUAUUAGCUAGUUGGAGUGGUAACGGCACCCCAAGGCUACGAUAGGUAGGGGUCCUGAGAGGGAGAUCCCCCACACUGGUACUGAGACAGGGACCAGACUCCUACGGGAGGUAGCAGUGAGGAAUAUUGGUCAAUGGUCGGAAGACUGAACCAGCCAUGCCGCGUGCAGGAAGAAUGCCUUAUGGGUUGUAAACUGCUUUUAUAUGGGAAGAAUAAGGCGUACGUGUACGUUGAUGACGGUACCAUAUGAAUAAGCAUCGGCUAACUCCGUG